rnacentral:rRNA from 1 species
GAUGAACGCUGGCGGCGUGCCUAAUACAUGCAAGUCGAGCGAACAGACGAGGAGCUUGCUCCUCUGACGUUAGCGGCGGACGGGUGAGUAACACGUGGAUAACCUACCUAUAAGACUGGGAUAACUUCGGGAAACCGGAGCUAAUACCGGAUAAUAUAUUGAACCGCAUGGUUCAAUAGUGAAAGACGGUUUUGCUGUCACUUAUAGAUGGAUCCGCGCCGCAUUAGCUAGUUGGUAAGGUAACGGCUUACCAAGGCGACGAUGCGUAGCCGACCUGAGAGGGGGAUCGGCCACACCGGAACUGAGACGCGGUCCAGACUCCUACGGGAGGCAGCAGUAGGGAAUCGUCCGCAAUGGGCGAAAGCCUGACGGAGCACCGCCGCGUGAGUGAUGAAGGUCUUCGGAUCGUAAAACUCUGUUAUUAGGGAAGAACAAAUGUGUAAGUAACUAUGCACGUCUUGACGGUACCUAAUCAGAAAGCCACGGCUAACUACGUG